AGUUUUACUUAAAUACGAGUCUUUAACUUUUAAAGUAAUUUUUUUAAAAAAGGCGAAAAGAAAUUAACUGGUUUUUUUAACAUGGCUAUAGAGUAUUUAAGUCAAAACCCGAAUGGAGGUGAACUAUUCCUGCAAAGAUUGAAGUCAGGGGAAACUCUGAUGGAAGAUCGUUGGCGUUAUUGAUGUGCAAAUCAUUUGCUUUAUGUAGGUAUAGGUGCGAAAGACUCAUCGAACCUCCUAAUAGCUGGUUUCCUCCGAAGUUUCCCUCAGGAUAGCUGUAACAUUUUUAAAUAGUUAAGGAUAGUAGAGAAAUGGGUAGAGGUGUAGUGGAACUACGGUUCUGCAACUUAUUUCCAAACUUCGAACGUUCUUGAUAUAAAAAAUUACCUAAUAGGAAUUUUUUAUUUAAAUAUAUGUUAUAAGUGGGCUCUGACCGGUAAGCGGUCAUGGCGAAAAGGGAUGAACCUAACGUAUAAAUAAGGUGCCUAAAUUUACUAACAAUGAAACCAUUAAAAGAGUCCAUGUAUUUAGACAGCGGGUCGGUGCCCCUAAAAGCAGGUAUCCGUUAAUGAGUGUGUUAAAACUCCCCCGCCGAAUACUCUGGCCUUGAAAAUGAAUGGCGCAUAUAGUAAUACCGAUAUUAUACAUUAAAAUUAUUUAAAAAUUUUAAAAGUAGGGGGAUGUGGAUAUCUUAGAGAAUUUUUAAUUGUAAAAUUGAAUUGAAAGAUAUCUAUUACAGAUCCUAAUUGAAGUAGCGAUUAUCCAGGUUAAUCUCCUGGGGGCUGAUGAGGAGUAGGGUUUCUGGGCAACUUAAACGGACCCAGAGUUAGUCGAUCCUAAUCAAAUUAAAUUUAGAGAAAGGGAAUAUGAAUGAUAUUUCAUAACUAAAAUUAAUUUUUAAAUGGUGACAUUUUUUUAAACUUAUUUCCAUCAAUUAAAUACUGUUUAAUAGGGAUUUCUUUCCUAUAUAACUUUUUAAUUAAAACUUAAGAAACAGGUUAACUGGAGAAUAAAGUUUUAAUUUAGUAAAAUUAUAAUUUCGAUUAUAAUAACGGCUAUUUAAAUGAUCCAUGAAACAAUAAGUUUAUUUUUUCAAAAAUUAAUUUAAUCGUACCGAUAACCGCAUCAGGUCUCCAAGGUGAGUAGCUUCUGGCCAUUGAGUAAUGGUAAUUUAGGGAAUUCGGCCAAUUAGAGCUGUAACUUCGGGAUAAAGCUUGGCUCUGAUGGAAAUCAGAACCGAUAGUUACAAGGAGAGCCCAACUGUUUAAUAAAAACUUAGUGUCGCGUCAUACCUUUAUAAGUAAUAAACGUGACAUGAAUCCUGCUCAGUGCUGUGUUUGUUAAACUGGAUUAAUCCAUUUAAGCGCCGGUAAAUAGCUGGGGUAACUAUGACUCUUAUCAAAGUAGCGAAAUACCUCGUCACUUAAUUAGUGACCUGCAUGAACGGAGCUAUGAGGUUCUCACUGUCCCAAAUUAUCACUCAGCGAACCAACAGUUGUGGGAACGGGCACAAAUUAUCCAGCGGGGAAAGAAGACCCUGUAGAGCUUCACUUUGG
rnacentral:rRNA from 1 species